UAUUGCACAAUGGGCGCAAGCCUGAUGCAGCCAUGCCGCGUGUAUGAAGAAGGCCUUCGGGGUUGUAAAGUACUUUCAGUCGUGAGGAAGGCAUUAACGUUAAUAGCGUUAGUGUUUGACGUUAGCGACAGAAGAAGCACCGGCUAACUCCGUGCCAGCAGCCGCGGUAAUACGGAGGGGUGCGAGCGUUAAUCGGAAUUACUGGGCGUAAAGCGCAUGCAGGUGGUUUGUUAAGUCAGAUGUGAAAGCCCGGGGCUCAACCUCGGAACCGCAUUUGAAACUGGCAGGCUAGAGUACUGUAGAGGGGGGUAGAAUUUCAGGUGUAGCGGUGAAAUGCGUAGAGAUCUGAAGGAAUACCAGUGGCGAAGGCGGCCCCCUGGACAGAUACUGACACUCAGAUGCGAAAGCGUGGGGAGCAAACAGGAUUAGAUACCCUGGUAGUCCACGCCGUAAACGAUGUCUACUUGGAGGUUGUGGCCUUGAGCCGUGGCUUUCGGAGCUAACGCGUUAAGUAGACCGCCUGGGGAGUACGGUCGCAAGAUUAAAACUCAAAUGAAUUGACGGGGGCCCGCACAAGCGGUGGAGCAUGUGGUUUAAUUCGAUGCAACGCGAAGAACCUUACCUACUCUUGACAUCCAGAGAACUUUUCAGA
rnacentral:rRNA from 1 species